ACGCGACCCCAGGUCAGGCUGAUCACUCGAGU
rnacentral:rRNA from 1 species